GACGAACGCUGGCGGCGUGCUUAACACAUGCAAGUCGAACGGUGAAGCGCCUUCCUUUUUGGUGGGUGUGGAUGAGUGGCGAACGGGUGAGUAACACGUGAGUAACCUGCCCCCUUCUUCUGGAUAACCGCAUGAAAGUGUGGCUAAUACGGGAUAUUCUGGGUCUGUCGCAUGAUGGGUCUGGGAAAGAUAUUGUUUCGGUGGGGGAUGGGCUCGCGGCCUAUCAGCUUGUUGGUGGGGUGAUGGCCUACCAAGGCGGUGACGGGUAGCCGGCCUGAGAGGGUGGACGGUCACACUGGAACUGAGACACGGCCCAGACUCCUACGGGAGGCAGCAGUGGGGAAUAGUGCACAAUGGGCGGAAGCCUGAUGCAGCGACGCCGCGUGAGGGAUGGAGGCCUGCGGGUUGUGAACCUCUUUCGCCAGUGAAGCAGACCUGCCUCGUUUGUGGGUGGGUUGACGGUAGCUGGAUAAGAAGCGCCGGCUAACUACGUG
rnacentral:rRNA from 1 species